GGCAAUUCUCAGGUGUUGCACCCCGGAAUUGAGCUCCCUCCUCUCUGAUUCCAGGGUGCAUCACCCAAGAACUGCC
rfam:Myotis davidii contig156467, whole genome shotgun sequence.